UAGUCCACGCAGUAAACGAUGAGUGCUAGUUGUCGGGAUUUUUCUCGGUGGCGAAGCUAACGCGUUAAGCACUCCGCCUGGGGAGUACGGCCGCAAGGCUAAAACUCAAAGGAAUUGACGGGGACCCGCACAAGCAGCGGAGCAUGUGGUUUAAUUCGAUGAUACUCGAAGAACCUUACCUAGCCUUGACAUAUAUUAGAACACUUUAGAGAUAGAGUGGUGCCUUCGGGAGCUUUUAUACAGGUGCUGCACGGCUGUCGUCAGCUCGUGUCGUGAGAUGUUGGGUUAAGUCCCGCAACGAGCGCAACCCUCGUCUUUAGUUGCCAGCAGUUCGGCUGGGCACUCUAAAGAAACUGCCGAUGAUAAGUCGGAGGAAGGUGUGGAUGACGUCAAGUCUUCAUGGCCCUUACGGGUUGGGCUACACACGUGCUACAAUGGCAGUGACAAUGGGUUAAUCCCCAAAAACUGUCUCAGUUCGGAUUGGGGUCUGCAACUCGACCCCAUGAAGUCGGAA
rnacentral:rRNA from 1 species